rnacentral:lncRNA from 1 species
AGAACGACACGCUGGGGAGGACCUGGGAGUCCGACGAGGGGUACCUGCACGUGAACAGCUCGGCGGCGCGGGUGGCUGUUGACCCGGCGGCGAUCAGGUACCCGGACGGCGGGGGGCUGACGGUGGAGACGGCGCCGCGGUGGGUGUACGCCACCGCCGAUGCCAUGAGCGACGCCAACGUCACCGGGUCCAACUUCAACAUCACCUGGGUCUUCGCCGUUGACCCGGGGUUCCGCUACCUCGCCCGCCUCCACUUCUGUGACAUCGUCAGCAAGUCCAUGAACAACCUCGUCUUCAACGUCUACGUUAACGCCGACCUCGCCAUCCCCAGCCUCGACCUCUCCGCCCUCAAGGGCGCCCUCGCCGUCCCCUACUACAGGGACUUUGUCUGCAACGCCUCCUCUUCUUCUUCCUCCUCCAAUGGCGGCGGCAAUGACAAUGGCGGCGGCCAGCUGACGGUGAGCGUGGGGCCCGACCCGGUUGCGGACCUGAGCAACGCCAUCCUGAAUGGGCUGGAGGUGAUGAAGAUGAGCAACGGCGCCGGGAGCCUCGGCGGCGCCGCCUCCGCGCGGGAGCUCCUCCCGGAAGAGGCGCCGCAACGGCGGCGGCGGGCGAUCAUCGUCGCCGCCGCCGCGGGCUGCUCCGCCGCGCUGGCCCUCGUCGCCUUGUGCGGCGGCUGCUGCCUCCUCCUCCGCCGCCGCUCCCGCAGCGCCGGGGGGGCGCCCCACCCCUGGCUGCCCCUUCCGCUCUACGGCGGCGGGCUGCACUCCUACAGCGCGAGCAAGGCCUCCACUGCGGCGGGGUCCGGGAAGAGUGGCGGCGGCGCCACCGCGGUGAGCGGCGCGUCGCUGGCCUCCGCCGCCGCGCGCGGCCGCGUGUUCUCCUUUCAGGAGAUCUGCGACGCCACCUCACGGUUCGACGAGGCGCUGCUGCUCGGCGUGGGCGGCUUCGGCAAGGUCUACCGGGGCACCCUGGAGGACGGCACC